rnacentral:rRNA from 1 species
UGACCUGCCCGGUGAAUUUUUUUUUAACGGCCGCGGUAUCUUGACCGUGCAAAGGUAGCAUAAUCAAUUGUUUUAUAAUUGAAGACUGGAAUGAAUGGUUGAAUGAAAUAUUAGCUGUCUUAUUUGUAUUUAUUAGAAUUUAGCUUUUAGAUGAAGAGAUUUAGAUGUAAUUGAUAGACAAGAAGACCCUGUUGAGCUUUAAAUAAUUUUAGAGAUGUAUUUUAUUAUAUCAAAUAAAUAAAUUUUAGAUUUUUUUUGGUUGGGGCGACUGAGGAAUAAUAAAAGCUUCCUUUAAUUUAGAUAGAUUGUUCAAUUUUGAUCCAAUAUUAUUGAUUAAAAAAAAUAGUUACCACAGGGAUAACAGCAUACAUCUUCUUUGAGAGUUCAUAUCGAAAAGAGGGGUUGUGACCUCGAUGUUGGACUAAAAUAUCCCAUACAUGUACGCUGUUUAUGAUGGUGUGG